AUUGAACGCUGGCGGCAGGCCUAACACAUGCAAGUCGAACGGUAGCACAGAGAGCUUGCUCUUGGGUGACGAGUGGCGGACGGGUGAGUAAUGUCUGGGAAACUGCCUGAUGGAGGGGGAUAACUACUGGAAACGGUAGCUAAUACCGCAUAACGUCGCAAGACCAAAGAGGGGGACCUUCGGGCCUCUUGCCAUCAGAUGUGCCCAGAUGGGAUUAGCUAGUAGGCGGGGUAAUGGCUCACCUAGGCGACGAUCCCUAGCUGGUCUGAGAGGAUGACCAGCCACACUGGAACUGGGACACGGUCCAGACUACUACGGGAGGGAGCAGGGGGGAAUAUUGCACAAUGGGCGCAAGCCUGAUUCAGCCAUGCCGCGUGUAUGAAGAAGGCCUUCGGGUUGUAAAGUACUUUCAGCGAGGAGGAAGGUGGUGAGGUUAAUAACCUUAUCAAUUGACGUUACUCGCAGAAGAAGCACCGGCUAACUCCGUGCCAGCCGCCGCCGUAAAAC
rnacentral:rRNA from 1 species